rnacentral:lncRNA from 1 species
AGCCCUGCGCUCCGCCCCUUGGAAACGGGACCUCCCGCGGGUGCUCCCCGCUGCGGACCCCACGCUGCACGCGCACACACAAUGCCCGCGCGCGGUGUCCGCUCCGCUCCGCUCCGCCCGUUGGCGCAUUCACACUGAGAGGGGCUCGAUCUUCUCUUUCCCUCUGCUCGGAAAAGGGCGCCUGGGAAGGCGUGCGGCGUCCGGGUGGCAGCCGGCACAGGGGCAGGUCCUGAUCAGCCUAGGGAGUUCGCGGACCAGCAGCGAGGGGUCAGGAGUUUGUACUCGGCUGUGCCUUCGCGAUCCAGAGUUUUCGGAAGGAUUUCCCUACUUGACAGUCUGAAAAAAUAACCCAGCCAGGAGGAGAACUCACUCAAGCGGGUCCUGGCUGCUCGAGAGACUGAAGGACUGCGUCUCCCGGACCAGGAGCGCGCUAGGACCCUCACUGUGCACCCAGAGACCAAGGGGGUGGGGGACCUCCUGGGUGCCUAGGGCCUGACCCAGGAGCUGUUCUACCGAGUGAUGCUACCGCUUAGCCUCCACAAAGCGUUCAGCUGCGUGUAUCUCUAAGACAGGAUAAAGUCUCACACUGCUUCCACUCAUGGGCUGUUUCUUCCAGUUGGCGUUGUGUUUGUUUAAAACCUGCGCUAGGAUGUUGGACAGGAAAAGAAAUCAUUCUGGGUACCCUAA